CAGUAGCCGCGGUAAUACGUAGGUGGCAAGCGUUGUCCGGAAUUAUUGGGCGUAAAGGGCUCGCAGGCGGUUUCUUAAGUCUGAUGUGAAAGCCCCCGGCUCAACCGGGGAGGGUCAUUGGAAGCUGGGAAACUUGAGUGCAGAAGAGGAGAGUGGAAUUCCACGUGUAGCGGUGAAAUGCGUAGAGAUGUGGAGGAACACCAGUGGCGAAGGCGACUCUCUGGUCUGUAACUGACGCUGAGGAGCGAAAGCGUGGGGAGCGAACAGGAUUAGAUACCCCAGUAGUCCCUGUCUCUUAUAC
rnacentral:rRNA from 1 species